CGCGGUUUCCUGUUAUAAAGUCUGCACACACAGGCCUAGAUUCAGAUUCUCUCCAGACUCUUAGGAAACAGUCAUGGCGCUCCGAACCCUCCUCCUACUGCUCUCGGGGACCCUAGCCCUGACCGAGACUUUGGCGGGCUCCCACUCCAUGAGGUAUUUCCACACCGCCGUGUCCCGGCCCGGCCGCGGGGAGCCCCGGUACCUCGAAGUCGGCUACGUGGACGACACGCAGUUCGUGCGGUUCGACAGCGACGCCGCGAGUCCGAGGAUGGAGCCGCGGGCGCCGUGGGUGCAGCAGGAGGGGCCGGAGUAUUGGGAAGAAGAGACACGGCGCGCCAAGGACCUCAUACAGAAUUUUCGAAGGAACUUGCUGACCCUGAGGGACUACUACAACCAGAGCGAAGCCGGAUCUCACGCUUUCCAGUUGACCUAUGGCUGCGAGGUGGGAUCGCACGGGCCGCUCCUCCGCGGGUACUGGCAGUACUCCUACGACGGCGCCGAUUACAUCGCCCUGAAAGAGGACCUGCGCUCCUGGACCGCGGCGGACGCGGCGGCUCAGAUCACCCGGCGCAAGUGGGAGGCGUCCCUUGCACAUGAGCGCUUCAGGGGGUACCUGGAGGGCACGUGCGUGAAGUGGCUUCGCAGAUACUUGGAGAAUGGAAAGGAGAUGCUGCAGCGCACAGAGUCCCCAAAGACGCAUGUGACCCGCCACCCCAUCUCUGACCAUGAGGUCACCCUGAGGUGCUGGGCCCUGGGCUUCUACCCUGCGGAGAUCACCCUGACCUGGCAGCGUGAUGGGGAGGACCUAACCCAGGACACGGAGCUUGUGGAGACCAGGCCUGCAGGGGACGGGACCUUCCAGAAGUGGGCGGCCGUGGUUGUGCCUUCUGGAGAGGAGCAGAGAUACACGUGCCAUGUGCAGCACCAGGGACUCCCUGAGCCUGUCACCCUGAGAUGGAAGCCGCCUCUUGAGUCCACCAUCCUCAUUGUGGGAGUCAUUGCUGGCCUGGGUCUCCUUGUCGCUGUGGUGGCUGGAGCUGUGAUGUGGAGGAAGAAGCGCUCAGGUGGAAAAGGAGGGAGCUACACUCAGGCUGCGCGGUGACAGUGCCCUGAGCACAGAUGUGUCUCUCGCGGAUCCUAAAGGUGAGACCUUGGAGAGCCUGGGAGAGCAGUUGGGGCAGAAGGAACACAGUGUGAGACAGCUGCCUUGUGGCGACUGAGUGAUGCAAGAUUUGUUCAUGCCUCCCCCUCCCCAAUUGUGACUUCGGGAAUCUCUGACCUCGCUUUCUGCAAAUGGCAUCUGAAUGUGUCUGCGUUCCUGUUAGCGUAAUGUGAGGAGGUGGAGAGACUGCCCCCCCCGCCCCACCCACCAAGACCUCGUCCCCACACUGACAUUUCCUGUUUUCCCAUCUACUCUCCUUUUCCAGCAGAGGUGGGCUGAGAUGUCUCCAGCCUUGUCUUAACUUCACAUUGCACUGAGCUGCAAUGUCUUCCAUUUUGAAAAUGAGAAUCUGACUAUAAAUUUGUUUUUUCAAAUUCU